CCUAUCGAUAGUUUCCUAUCACGCUGCCACCACCAUCAUUUUUGACAUACAUUUGCAAAUUUAUUUCGUCAAGUGAUCACAUGUUGAUAAUUUAGAUGAUGACCUGCGCAGCAGCAGAGGCGCAGCUGAUUGGAGCGGAGUUGGCCAAACGCGAAGGGUAGGCCAAAGAAGCAGCAGCGUACUUGGCCACCACUGGAGCAGCAACGGAAGCAAUCUCAGAAGCAGCAUCGAUUCCAUUGUUGUUCCUGGCGAUACUGGUGGCGGUCACAGGUGGAGUGGGAGCAGUUACCACGGCAGCGAGAGCAGAGUAGUCUAGAGGAGCAGAGUAAGCCAGAGGACCAGUGUACGCCAGGGCAGCACCCAGGAGAUCGGGCUUGGCAGCAGCGCAGGCGACGGUUAUCAGGACAAGGACGGCCUGUUAACAAAUCAGCUUGAUUAGCUUAAUCCUCUGUGGGUCCUUUCUGAAGAACGGUAGAUUAGUCCAAUAUGCUACAGGCGACAUCAGGUUCAAGUUUUCGAACCGAAAGCACCAGAUCCAUAAUCCAAAUGUUUAAAUCCGACGUCCUUGUCUUGGCCUGAACUGCUUGGUGCGCCUUGGCCUACAUUGCUAACGUGGCUUACUCUCCUCCUCUGGUCUGACUGUCGUAGUAGCUGGUCUCUCUCCAGUUGUGACCGCUGCCAGUUGUCAGGUUAAUGAAUGAAAUCGCUCUUGCUCCUGUGAUUGCUCCCGUGGCUGCUCCUCUGGCUGUGUCUCUCUUGGCCCUGUACGCAGCCGCUCCUCUGGCUGCGCCAUGACCUACUCCUCGCCUUUGGCUUACUCCGCACCACUGAGCUACGCCGUUCCAUCUGCACCGCUCCUUAUUUAAAUUACUAAGCUGUGAUCACCUCGGAGACAACGGAAAUAAAUGGAUAUUCAAUUG
rnacentral:sRNA from 1 species